ACACAUGCAAGUCGAACGAUGAAGCCCUUCGGGGUGGAUUAGUGGCGAACGGGUGAGUAACACGUGGCAAUCUGCCCUUCACUCUGGGACAAGCCCUGGAAACGGGGUCUAAUACCGGAUAACACUCCUGCCUGCAUGGGUGGGGGUUAAAAGCUCCGGCGGUGAAGGAUGAGCCCGCGGCCUAUCAGCUUGUUGGUGGGGUAAUGGCCCACCAAGGCGACGACGGGUAGCCGGCCUGAGAGGGCGACCGGCCACACUGGGACUGAGACACGGCCCAGACUCCUACGGGAGGCAGCAGUGGGGAAUAUUGCACAAUGGGCGAAAGCCUGAUGCAGCGACGCCGCGUGAGGGAUGACGGCCUUCGGGUUGUAAACCUCUUUCAGCAGGGAAGAAGCGAAAGUGACGGUACCUGCAGAAGAAGCGCCGGCUAA
rnacentral:rRNA from 1 species